GAUGAACGCUAGCUACAGGCUUAACACAUGCAAGUCGAGGGGAAACGAUAUUGGAAGCUUGCUUCCGAUAGGCGUCGACCGGCGCACGGGUGAGUAACGCGUAUCCAACCUGCCCAUCACUUGGGGAUAACCUUGCGAAAGUAAGACUAAUACCCAAUGACGUCUCUAGAAGACAUCUGAAAGAGAUUAAAGAUUUAUCGGUGAUGGAUGGGGAUGCGUCUGAUUAGCUUGUUGGCGGGGUAACGGCCCACCAAGGCGACGAUCAGUAGGGGUUCUGAGAGGAAGGUCCCCCACAUUGGAACUGAGACACGGUCCAAACUCCUACGGGAGGCAGCAGUGAGGAAUAUUGGUCAAUGGGCGAGAGCCUGAACCAGCCAAGUAGCGUGCAGGAUGACGGCCCUAUGGGUUGUAAACUGCUUUUAUAAGGGAAUAAAGUGAGAGUCGUGACUCUUUUUGCAUGUACCUUAUGAAUAAGGACCGGCUAAUUCCGUGCCAGCCGCCGCGGUAA
rnacentral:rRNA from 1 species